AUAAUCAGCUUGAAGGUGUGGGAGGACAACUAAACAAGUGAGAAUUUGUGGGCCAAGACCUGGGACAGGAGGAAAGCCGAAGGAGGGUGACCUGGCUUUGAAGACUGCUUUCUUCCUUAAGGUGGUCGCCAAAGCCUCUGAAGCUGAAAGCCUGGGAAGGUUCCUUUUGAAUUUUCCAAACCAGGGAAAUUUGUGAAAGUCAUGAUAGACACAGCAUGUUGGUCUUACAAAAAUACUCAAUGGAGGAUAGAAUUGGAGAAAAGAACAAUUUGAAUGAAAUUUGGAAGGUGCAUGAAACUGAAGACAUUUGUUCUGAAGGUCACUGCUGUCAAACUGGGUAACAGUAGCAGAGAUGCCUGGUGAAUCCAGUCUGUCCUCGAGCCCGCUUUGUGCCUUGCCUCUCUUGCCACCUGCUGGUCCUGCUAACCAAUAGCAGCCCUGGCCCACUGGGAUGCUUUGCAGCCGACCCGGAGAUGGAUCUGCUACACAAAGGCAGCUCUCUCCCCAGAGGUGGCAAUUUGAAGAAACCUCUUUGUGAAUGCUCCCUCUGCAGUCCCGUUUUGGCAAGACGUUGAGUUUGGUUUCUUGGAUUUCUCUGCCAGUUCCAAUUUGUCCACUUAGGCUAGUGCUUGCUUGGGAUUAGUUUAGGGACAAAUCUCUGACCUUGUGAUUCCCUUACCAGACCUUCAC